rnacentral:rRNA from 1 species
ACGGGAGGCAGCAGUGGGGAAUAUUGGGCAAUGGGCGCAAGCCUGACCCAGCAAUGCCGCGUGAAGGAAGAAGGCUUUCGGGUUGUAAACUUCUUUUAAGUGGGAUGAUAAUGACGGUACCACUUGAAUAAGCUUCGGCUAACUACGUGCCAGCAGCCGCGGUAAUACGUAGGGAGCAAGCGUUAUCCGGAUUUACUGGGUGUAAAGGGCGUGUAGGCGGGACAUCAAGUCAGAUGUGAAAGCACGAAGCUCAACUUCGUGUCUGCAUUUGAAACUGAUGUUCUUGAGUGUUGGAGAGGCUAACGGAACUCCUAGUGUAGCGGUGAAAUGCGUAGAUAUUAGGAGGAACAUCAGUGGCGAAGGCGGCUUACUGGGCUUUAACUGACGCUGAGGCUCGAAAGCGUGGGGAGCAAACAGGAUUAGAUACCCUGGUA